AAUGAACGCUGGCGGCAUGCCUUACACAUGCAAGUCGAACGGCAGCAUGACCUAGCUUGCUAGGUUGAUGGCGAGUGGCGAACGGGUGAGUAAUGCAUCGGAACGUGCCUUUUAGUGGGGGAUAACGUAGCGAAAGUUACGCUAAUACCGCAUAUUCUCUGAGGAGGAAAGCAGGGGACCUUCGGGCCUUGCGCUAGAAGAGCGGCCGAUGUCGGAUUAUCUAGUUGGUGAGGUAAAGGCUCACCAAGGCAACGAUCCGUAGCGGGUCUGAGAGGAUGAUCCGCCACACUGGGACUGGGACACGGCCCAGACUCCUACGGGAGGCAGCAGUGGGGAAUUUUGGACAAUGGGCGCAAGCCUGAUCCAGCCAUGCCGCGUGAGUGAAGAAGGCCUUCGGGUUGUAAAGCUCUUUCGGCUGGGAAGAAAUCGCACCCUCUAAUACAGGGUGUGGAUGACGGUACCAGCAUAAGAAGCACCGGCUAACUACGUG
rnacentral:rRNA from 1 species